rnacentral:rRNA from 1 species
AUUGAACGCUGGCGGCAGGCCUAACACAUGCAAGUCGAACGAGUGGCGGACGGGUGCGUAAUGUCUGGGAAACUGCCUGAUGGAGGGGGAUAACUACUGGAAACGGUAGCUAAUAACGCAUACCAUCAGAUGUGCCCAGAUGGGAUUCGCUUGUGGGUGGGUUAAAGGCUCACCAAGGCGACGCUCCCUAGCUGGUCUGAGAGGAUGACCAGCCACACUGGAACUGAUACACGGUCCAUACUCCUGCGGUAGGCAGCCGUGGGGACUAUUGCACAAUGGGCGCAAGCCUGAUGCAGCCAUGCCGCGGGUAUGAAGAAGGCCUUCGGGUUGUAAAGUACUUUCAGCGGGGAGGCGUUACCCGCAGAAGAAGCACCGGCUAACUCCGUGCCAGCAGCCGCGGUAAUAC